rnacentral:misc_RNA from 1 species
CCGAGUAUUACAACUCCCAAACCCUUUGUGAACCUUACCUAUCGUUGCUUCGGCGGGACCAGCCCCGGCGCCUUUCAAACCGCGCCGGAACCAGGCACCCGCCGGAGGUAUUCACAAACUCUUGUUUUAUAUAGUAUCUUCUGAGUGGCGAAAGCAAAAAUGAAUCA